CUUGAGGAGUGGCUUCCGGAGCUAACGCGUUAAGUCGACCGCCUGGGGAGUACGGCCGCAAGGUUAAAACUCAAAUGAAUUGACGGGGGCCCGCACAAGCGGUGGAGCAUGUGGUUUAAUUCGAUGCAACGCGAAGAACCUUACCUACUCUUGACAUCCAGAGAACUUAGCAGAGAUGCUUUGGUGCCUUCGGGAACUCUGAGACAGGUGCUGCAUGGCUGUCGUCAGCUCGUGUUGUGAAAUGUUGGGUUAAGUCCCGCAACGAGCGCAACCCUUAUCCUUUGUUGCCAGCGGUUAGGCCGGGAACUCAAAGGAGACUGCCAGUGAUAAACUGGAGGAAGGUGGGGAUGACGUCAAGUCAUCAUGGCCCUUACGAGUAGGGCUACACACGUGCUACAAUGGCGCAUACAAAGAGAAGCGACCUCGCGAGAGCAAGCGGACCUCAUAAAGUGCGUCGUAGUCCGGAUUGGAGUCUGCAACUCGACUCCAUGAAGUCGGAAUCGCUAGUAAUCGUAGAUCAGAAUGCUACGGUGAAUACGUUCCCGGGCCUUGUACACACCGCCCGUCACACCAUGGGAGUGGGUUGCAAAAGAAGUAGGUAGCU
rnacentral:rRNA from 1 species